UCCAAGCUUCAGAGAGACCAACGUUCUCAGGUUCUGGGAGCUUGUUCACCAGGAGCAUCUUUCUAGCAAGUGAGGGACCAGGAAGGACAGACACUUAGGCAACCUUCUCCAUCUGUGAUUCUGAAAACAAGCGCCUUCUAUCCCAAACCUAAACAGGUUCUGUGUCAGGUGCAUCCUAGAGCACAAUCACUUUCUCCCAACCUCAGCCUCAGAUUCAUAUACACAGGACCCUCACUGUGGGCACAGCCAUCUUCCUAGGAAGAUUUGAGGGGAUCGGGAACGAAGAGAACAAAAGCAGACACCCCGGGAGAGGAAAACCCUGCCCUUUUCCUGUUACGCUGUCCCACGUGACCUUCUGGACAUCAUCCCAUGUAGACUGAGACAUGGCUAAAAAGAAAGGGGAUAAAGAUAGAUUUGGGGAAGGAUGGGGACUCAACAAUACCAUUGCUAAUUAGGGAAUUCAUGGUCUAGUGAGCACCUGACUCUUGCCAGCAUUCCCAAACUGCCUCAGAGUAGAGUGAUACAUCUAAAAAAAGGCAUCUGAAUGUUGCCUGAACAAUCAGAAGGCUUGGAUCAACUCAACUUCCACCCGUCGUAAGCCAUAAAGCCUUUGGCUAUACCUAACCUGAGACACAAUGCCCAGGAGGGCGUAAUUACAAACUGACCCGCUUCCCUCAUGAGGGGCAAAGGAAGUUAUUUAAGUAAAAGCCUGUUACAAAUGCUAUAAAUCCUGCUAUGUGGUGAAGGUACCCGUAUCACAAAGACGGUACGAAUAAAUCUGCUCUUUCGGAAUC